UGGCUCAGGACGAACGCUGGCGGCGUGCCUAAUACAUGCAAGUCGAGCGAAUCUUAAGGUGCUUGCACCUUUUGGUUAGCGGCGGACGGGUGAGUAACACGUGGGCAACCUGCCUGUAAGACUGGGAUAACUUCGGGAAACCGGAGCUAAUACCGGAUAAUCCUUUUCCUCUCAUGAGGAAAAGCUGAAAGUCGGUUUGCUGACACUUACAGAUGGGCCCGCGGCGCAUUAGCUAGUUGGUGAGGUAACGGCUCACCAAGGCGACGAUGCGUAGCCGACCUGAGAGGGUGAUCGGCCACACUGGGACUGAGACACGGCCCAGACUCCUACGGGAGGCAGCAGUAGGGAAUCUUCCGCAAUGGACGAAAGUCUGACGGAGCAACGCCGCGUGAGCGAUGAAGGCCUUCGGGUCGUAAAGCUCUGUUGUUAGGGAAGAACAAGUAUCGGAGUAACUGCCGGUACCUUGACGGUACCUAACCAGAAAGCCACGGCUAACUACGUGCCAGCAGCCGCGGUAAUACGUAGGUGGCAAGCGUUGUCCGGAAUUAUUGGGCGUAAAGCGCGCGCAGGCGGUCCUUUAAGUCUGAUGUGAAAGCCCACGGCUCAACCGUGGAGGGUCAUUGGAAACUGGGGGACUUGAGUACAGAAGAGGAAAGCGGAAUUCCACGUGUAGCGGUGAAAU
rnacentral:rRNA from 2 species